UGAGUGCUCAAACUACACGUCUAGUG
rnacentral:piRNA from 1 species